rnacentral:rRNA from 1 species
UCCAGCAGCCGCGGUAAUACGUAGGGUGCAAGCGUUAAUCGGAAUUACUGGGCGUAAAGCGUGCGCAGGCGGUUCGGAAAGAAAGAUGUGAAAUCCCAGAGCUUAACUUUGGAACUGCAUUUUUAACUACCGGGCUAGAGUGUGUCAGAGGGAGGUGGAAUUCCGCGUGUAGCAGUGAAAUGCGUAGAUAUGCGGAGGAACACCGAUGGCGAAGGCAGCCUCCUGGGAUAACACUGACGCUCAUGCACGAAAGCGUGGGGAGCAAACAGGAUUAGAUACCCUGGUAAA